UACGGAGGGGGCUAGCGUUGUUCGGAAUUACUGGGCGUAAAGGGCUCGUAGGCGGCCAACUAAGUCGGACGUGAAAUCCCUCGGCUUAACCGGGGAACUGCGUCCGAUACUGGAUGGCUUGAGUUCGGGAGAGGGAUGCGGAAUUCCAGGUGUAGCGGUGAAAUGCGUAGAUAUCUGGAGGAACACCGGUGGCGAAAGCGGCUCACUGGACCAUAACUGACGCUGAUGCACGAAAGCUAGGGGAGCAAACAGG
rnacentral:rRNA from 1 species